GACGAACGCUGGCGGCGUGCCUAACACAUGCAAGUCGAGCGGGGAUUUAAGUGGAAGUUCUUCGGAAUGGAGAUUUAAAUUCUAGCGGCGGACGGGUGAGUAACGCGUGAACAAUCUGUCCCGGACAGGGGGAUAACACUUGGAAACAGGUGCUAAUACCGCAUAAGACCACGGCCUCGCAUGGGGCUGAGGUAAAAGGAGCAAUCCGGUUCGGGGUGAGUUCGCGUCCGAUUAGCUAGUUGGUGAGGUAACGGGCAACCAAGGCGACGAGCGGUAGCCGGCCUGGAAGGGUGAACGGCCACAUUGGAACUGAGAGACGGUACAAACUCCUACGGGAGGCAGCAGUGGGGAAUAUUGGGCAAUGGGCGAAAGCCUGACCCAGCAACGCCGCGUGAGGGAAGAAGGUUUUCGGAUUGUAAACCUCUGUCCUAUGGGACGAAGGAAGUGACGGUACCAUAGGAGGAAGCCCCGGCUAACUACGUG
rnacentral:rRNA from 1 species